rnacentral:lncRNA from 1 species
GGGAGGAGACUGCCGGCUUUACUGAAUGCUUCACCGUAGAGCUUGAAGGUGCAGGAGCUGUCACAAGACUGGUUGUCCAACGAAAUGGUUUAAAAUAUGUUAUGAAGCUGAAAUUUGAUAUGCUUGCUUGCAGUGGAUUUUUUUCGGAAAUCUUCAUCAAAAUGGCUGCAAGUAUAGAAGGAGUGAAUAAAAUUCAGCUAAGACAAAACAGAAAUUGCAAUCUUUUUAGACCAGCUCUAGCAACUCAACAGAAGAUGAUGGAGACUUAAAAACUGGCAGGCACUCAGGACCCAGUGCAGCAAAACACUUAAACACGUUCUUAACUUUAAGAUUGCGAACAAUCCCUCUGACCUCCAUGGGAAGGAGAACAGAGACACAGAGGCCAAGUGACUCACCGAAGCUCACACAACAGCAUGGAUAUAUACUUAAUGAUCACUUCAUAGCAAACAGCUUAAAGUACCUUUUUGUUGUUGUUCUCUUCCUUUAGGGGCAAUCAGCUCCUCACUGAACUCUUACUAUGGGCAAUCAAUAUCCAGAAUUAUACUUCAUCAAUUCUGCAGGAAAAUUUAUUGUUUCAUUUUUCAUAAGCAAAGCCAUGAGUUUGCCCUUGUUAAAGUUGAUAAUGGAGACAUUUUGGAGGAUGCUUCAAGGAGCUGACCAACAUCAUUCUAGGACAACUGAUUUCCAUCCAGUACAUGACCAAACAGGUAGGUAGAAUAUGACUGAGAGUGACUUUGCAAUGACUUUGGGGACAGUUGUUUGCUUGGAUUUUUAAUUUAUAUUUUCCUGGAAAUCAUACUGGCUCCAUUUGAAGACUCUGAGAAAGCACACAGCAGAGCCAGGAGUCCAACAACUAUUACCAUUUUACUCAUUGUGUAAGGCCAAUUUCUAACUAAUGAGCACAGAGUAGCUUUGCCUGCACAGUGGACUAAUUUGAUGUGGGCAAAGGAGUUUGCUGAUGUGAGAGGGGGGGGGGGAAAGCUGCUUCUUUCUUUGUUUUUCUUCUCUAGGGAAAAUGUUUAAUCAAUUUCAUAGUUGGAAAAGUGAAUGUUUUGUUAGAGAUAGUAUUUUCUGGUUAUAAGCCCAUCUUUGCCUUCCUCUCUUGAACAGUUAGGGUAAGUCUACACUCAAAUAAAAACCCACGGCUGGCCCA